rnacentral:rRNA from 1 species
AGAACGAACGCUGGCGGCAGGCUUAACACAUGCAAGUCGAACGGUUGUAGCAAUACAGCAGUGGCAGACGGGUGAGUAACACGUGGGAACCUUCCUAGGGGUACGGAACAACUCAGGGAAACUUGAGCUAAUACCGUAUACGUCCGUGAGGAGAAAGAUUUAUCGCCCCUAGACGGGCCCGCGUAGGAUUAGGUAGUUGGUGAGGUAACGGCUCACCAAGCCUACGAUCCUUAGCUGACCUGAGAGGAUGAUCAGCCACACUGGGACUGAGACACGGCCCAGACUCCUACGGGAGGCAGCAGGUGGGGAAUCGUUGGACAAGUGGGCGCAAGCCUGAUCCAGCCAUGCCGCGUGAGUGAAGAAGACCUUCGGGUUGUAAAGCUUACUUUACCAGGGACGAUAAUGACGGUACCUAGGAGUAAUAACGCCCCCGGACGUAAAACCGUUCGUCGACC